GAGUUUGAUCCUGGCUCAGGACGAACGCUGGCGGCGUGCCUAAUACAUGCAAGUCGAGCGGAGAUUUGAAAAGCUUGCUUCUCAAAUCUUAGCGGCGGACGGGUGAGUAACACGUGGGCAACCUGCCCUUGAGACGGGGAUAACUCCGGGAAACCGGAGCUAAUACCGGAUAACACAUAUCUUCGCAUGAAGAUAUGUUAGAAGGUGGCUUUUAGCUAUCACUCAAGGAUGGGCCCGCGGCGCAUUAGCUAGUUGGUGAGGUAACGGCUCACCAAGGCGACGAUGCGUAGCCGACCUGAGAGGGUGAUCGGCCACACUGGGACUGAGACACGGCCCAGACUCCUACGGGAGGCAGCAGUAGGGAAUCUUCCGCAAUGGACGAAAGUCUGACGGAGCAACGCCGCGUGAGUGAUGAAGGUUUUCGGAUCGUAAAGCUCUGUUGUUAGGGAAGAACAAGUACCUGUUGAAUAAGCAGGUACCUUGACGGUACCUAACCAGAAAGCCACGGCUAACUACGUGCCAGCAGCCGCGGUAAUACGUAGGUGGCAAGCGUUGUCCGGAAUUAUUGGGCGUAAAGCGCGCGCAGGCGGUUCCUUAAGUCUGAUGUGAAAGCCCACGGCUCAACCGUGGAGGGUCAUUGGAAACUGGGGAACUUGAGUGCAGAAGAGGAGAGCGGAAUUCCACGUGUAGCGGUGAAAUGCGUAGAGAUGUGGAGGAACACCAGUGGCGAAGGCGGCUCUCUGGUCUGUAACUGACGCUGAGGCGCGAAAGCGUGGGGAGCGAACAGGAUUAGAUACCCUGGUAGUCCACGCCGUAAACGAUGAGUGCUAAGUGUUAGAGGGUUUCCGCCCUUUAGUGCUGCAGCAAACGCAUUAAGCACUCG
rnacentral:rRNA from 1 species